rnacentral:tRNA from 1 species
UUAAUAAAAGCCAAAAAGAGGCCUUUCACUGUUAAUGAAAAAAUUGAUUUUUCUUAUUAAG